AUGGGGACCAGCCACUGCAAUGCACUCUGGGACGUGAGGAUGUCAUGUGAGGCCGGGACGAGCCUUCGAGCUACAUCUGCACCACGUGUAAGCAGCCCUUUCCCAGUGCCUGGUUCCUCCUGCAGCACGCCCAGAACAGCCAUGGCAUCCGCAUCUACCUGGAGUCCAACCCCUCCAGCUCGUUGCUUACCCCCNNNNNNNNNNNNNNNNNNNNNNNNNNNNNNNNNNNNNNNNNNNNNNNNAUAUAUAUAUAUAUAUAUAUAUAUAUAUAUAUAUAUAUAUAUAUAUAUAUAUAUAUAUAUAUAUAUAUAUAUAUAUAUAUAUAUAUAUAUAUAUAUAUAUAUAUAUAUAUAUAUAUAUAUAUAUAUAUAUAUAUAAAAAUCACCACACAAACCAAGGCUUUUAAUGACAAGUUGCCAUGUUGCCAAAUGAAUUCUGAAGUAAGAAUUCUGAACUUUAAUUUUAAUAUCAUAAAUGAGGUCGGAUAACAAUGAAAACCCAACAGUGGUGAAAUGCAUUCAUAGUUAUUUGGUGUGAUUUACCCACAAACACACAGGCAUCCAAUUUAGUGCAUUUUCAAUGCUUGGAGAGAGCAAAUGACUGUGCUGUGAUUGGUUUGAUCUGUCACAAUAGAGGAAGCUAGCUGUGUGAGAAGAAAAGGUUUGGUAAAUCACCUGCUCUGGAUAACAGGAUGGUCCUAUCAGUCUGGACAGUGAUUGGUCAAUGUAUCAUGUAUCCUUGGCAACAAAUCUGGGUUGAGACUACAGGGACUUCUGGAACUUCUUCUGUCUCUUUGCUGUGUGUGUGUGUAUAUGUACUGUAUGUGUUUAUUCACUUGUGUCUGUAAGUGUAUCCAUGUGUGUGUGCUUGUAAAGCCCAGAUUGACAUGCAACGUUUGACUCAGCCUGUUUGGAAACCCAUGAUCGUUAUUAGCCAUCGUUUCUGCUUAAUUGAAUCAGGGGCUUAGCGUGGUGCGAGGCAGCGUCCGUGGAUGACACACACUGUGGCAUCCCCUCUCUCUCUCCGCUCUCUGUCCUCUCUCUCCCUAUUAUCUGUCCUCUCUCUCCCCUCUCAUCUCCAAGCAGCAGCUGUUUCACAAUGGGAGUGUGUCUCGUGGAAAACAAGAUCAUCACUCUCCCCCUUACUGCUUCUUUAAGACUCCACCACUCACCGUCUCAGAUCAUUACUCCUUUACUGCUUCUUUAAGACUCCACCACUCACCAUCUCUUCUCAUUAUACUGGAGGAACUUUUCUCUCUUGGGGAACUGGAGUUUUAUUCUUUACAUUCUGCAUAUGGCAGUAGAGUGACUCUGUCUGUCUGUCUGUCUGUCUGUCUGUCUGUCUGUCUGUCUGUCUGUCUGUCUGUCUGUCUGUCUGUCUGUCUGUCUGUCUGUCUGUCUGUCUGUCUGUCUGUCUGUCUGUCUGUCUGUCUGUCUGUCUGUCUGUCUGUCUGUCUGUCUGG
rnacentral:lncRNA from 13 species